ensembl:lncRNA
CUGGAAGAAUGCAAGCUAGCUUGAACUAAAAUUAUGCCAGGGCCCAAUUUAGUAGUAGGCACAAAACCAUCCAUGUACCUCUGUGGUCCUGUUAAGUUUAUUAGUGUCAGAAUGAAACCUCAGUCACACUGGCAAGAGUCAACAGAAAACCUUUAUUGGCCUCAGUGAUCAGAAGAUACUGAGAGGUAUAAUUAUUAGCUUGUUCACUUCCUUCACAUUUAUGUUCUUUUUUCCCCCUCAUUCUGGCUAUUACCAAAAUAAUAGUGAAAUGAACAUUUUUUUUCUGACUCAUAGAGUAAUGAAAUUGGGUUGUUCCCUAACCAAAACUUGCUGUUAGUUUUGAGUGAUCCUCUGGGUUAAGAAACAGGCAGAGGUUCUGGAAAAGCCAGCUUCAGCUCUCCUUCUGGGCAGACAAUCUCCAGUGGCUUUGAGCAAGGAGCUUAGGUCAUCUGUGAUUCCACAACUCAUUUGGAUAAAGAGUUAAAAGCUGCAAUGUGUUGAGACACAAACACACCAGGUGCAUAAGCACACUGAACUGAUGUGAGCAUAAAACUCACUUUUAUUUCUGUAGCUUUUUUUUUUCUUCAUGAAUCUGGGAAGGGAAUUUGUUUUAAACUCUGUGAAAUGGACAUGAGUGCAUUCACCCCCAUGUCAGGAUAUAUUCAGUGUAGCACAGAGGGAGGGUGUGUGUAAGCCUGAAGUAUUCUACAGGGAUGGCUGUGCUAAUCUGGGGAGUGCCUGCUCUGUUUCUAGAGCUAACUCUCUGCACCUGGUACCCCAAUCAACGCUUGUAAAACUAUCCUUCACUAUGCCAUACUUCUGCCUGCAGCAAUAUGAAUAGGAAUCAGCUCUCAGCUUCUGAUAAACCCAGCGACUCAUUGUCCAGCUUCCUGUUCCUGAUAUGCAGAACACAUGUCAGAACAACUGGAGGGAUGACAACAAUGAGAGAUGAAAAAUGGGUACCAUUGGCAUUACAUACUCCCAGGGCAACUAGUAUUUGGAAACAGCAAAGUUUUUGGAAUUCAGCACUGUUGCUUAAGUACUGCUGUGGGCUGAAAGAGUUAAUCCACUCUAGUGGAGUGGCAAAUAAGACUGUCCCCAAAGACAUGCCUGCUGCUGACUAUUCUACAAGUCCAGCUACAGGAGAAGCAAAGGCCUCUGCUACAGGCACAAGUGUCCUAAAAGUCAGAUGCAGAAAUUCUUCUGGAAGAGAUACCACCCAGUUUCGGACUAGCAUACUUGGUGCUGUUUAUCACGGCAAAUGGACAGGUUUGAGCACCAGCACAAUCUACUUCCUUCUUUGGACUUUUUUUGGCUCAGUUUUGGCAUGGACUGAUCACCUUCUCCCAGCUGAUGGCCAAACACCAUUUGGAUGAUUGCUGUGGACCUAAGGCUCUUCUCAAGAGGUGAUAUGGUUGUGGUAACUCGAUUUAGGGGCAAAGAGGGGAGGGCUGACAGUGUGAGCCCAAACCUUGUUAUACCAUUUAUCCUUAGGGCCAGAGAACGGUUUUGGAAAAGUUAGCAAGUCAAAGGUUUAGUGGAUGAGAGGCCUCUGUCAAGUCUUGUGCAAAAAUUGCUUUUUUUUUCCAGUGUCAAUUUACUGUUUUUAAGUGGGUUUACUCCAGAGUACUAUUACCAUAUGUACUUUCUCAUCCCUCUCUUCUUUUUACUAAUCUUGCUCAGCACAUGAGUUGAUUGUAGUAGUAAAUGGUUUGGCCAAACAUAUGGCAAUGGACAGAAUUAAGGUCCUGGUAAGUAGAGAGAUCAGGCUGUCUUCUGCAUGCCCUCUUGGUCAGUAAAAUCCCAUACACACCAGUGCUACUCUGUUUCCGGAUGUCCACCAUGCCUUGCAUCCCACCAGCCAGGCUGCAGGAAGAGGGGUAAAGCAGCGAGGCUGUUUCCUCCAGGCUGAGCUGCUCCACAGCUCCUUUAGAAGAAAGCAAAUCCUUUGCUACCUUUCUUUUGGUCUGCCUCCUGUUGGCUUCCCCUUCCUCAGCACCAGGAGCUGGUUGAGCCCACUAAUAACUCCAUUCUUCAUCAGUGCCACUGAAUGGGCAUUUUACAAGGCAAAGUUUGACUUAAAGCUCUUAGUAAAAGAAAGAAAUCCUUUUUAUAAUUACAUGAAAAGGACAAUUAUUUUCUCGCAUUGGGAUGAGAUCAGAAUUGGGCUUUCUGCAAUUUUUAUGUCCAAUAUAGAUUUGAUUUACCACAAUCCCCUGAUGAUUUUGGUGCUGAUAAAUAAAUGUAUUUAUAUGUUGUGCUCUUACAUUCCUAGUACUAACUGAGGAAGCAGAACAAUAACAUACUCUUGUCAAUACAAGCACUGCCCUGGGAAUUGACUAAUUAACAUAAAACUCAGCCCUGCAGGGACAUUUCCAGGUUCAUUUUUUGCUGCUUCAGCAAACUAUAGGGUUUGAGCUGUUAACUACUUUCAGAUGCUCUUUGUCUCUGAAGAAAGAAAUAAAGAACAUCCACGUUGCUUUAGGCAAGUUAAUGAUUCUACAGAACACUUACCUUUUUACCAUAUGCUUCAUGGUGGAUUAAAAUCCUGAAGGAGUUGAGGAUUAUAUAGCAUGUAUAGUCCUUUGGCAGAAAAACACUUACUCUGAACUAAAAGUGAAUGGCUGAAUGUGACAUUUAUAUUCAUUGUUUUUCCAGAACUGCGUACUGAGGAUGUUUGAAUUUACUCAAAAUAAUUCUUCCAGUAAUCCCAAAGCAGAGGUUUUGUAGGUGCUUUGAUUUCACGUGUUGUCUUAAGGUUAUGACAAAUAGUUCACAGUGGCUACUGGGAAAACUGGAGAAGUUUGCAUAUUCACUUCUGCAAAGUUAGAAGGAAAUCUGGCCUAACUUGGCAAAGGGAUGUGCUUACAGUUUUGAGGAACACAUAAUACUUGGGUUUUUGUGUGUCUGUGUGAUUUACUUUUCACUCAUGUUCAUUCCCUUGGAUGACAAAAGCAAAGUUUCUUGUCUACAGGAAAAAAUAGGAAAUAAAAGAGAAGGAAAGUCAAACUAAAUAAGGCUUUAAUCUCACAGAUAAAGAAAAAAACUUUCCCUCCUUCUUGUAGUGUUUGCUGUUAUUAUAGACUGUUCUUAAUUUCCACAUGUGCCCAUUGCUUUUGUUUAUGAAUGAACAAAAUGACAUACUGCAGUUCACAGAAAUCAUCUGUAGAAAGAAACAAGGGAAUAAUUUUCUAUCACUGCUGAAAACUCUUCAGUAGAUCUUCAUGUGCUGCAGCUAAAAGGACCUGAAAAUUACAUUUUGAAUGAGCACAUAUACUUUCAAAGUAUUUUGUCAGAGCAGAAAGCUAAGUACACGUGCAAAAUGCACAUUUGAGAAAGCCGAAGUCACAGCACUUGCAGAUACACACAAUAUUCAUAGUUUUGUUUUGUACAUACAUUUACUUGUUGGUGCAUGAAUACAUAAAUUUUGUGAGUGUGCUUCAGGCAUUAGUAUGAGAAGCCGUGUGUAUAUAUGUGACUGUUUGUGCCUAUUAGCACAAAUUAUUACAAUUGCUCAUACCUAUCUGAUCCUGCUGUAUAGGCUUCAUAGGCUUUACCCAUUUGGAAUAAAAUUACACGAUGUAUGUCUGCCUGCACAUUUUUUUUUCCCCCAGCAGUUUUCAAACACAAUAAUUCAAUAUUUGCUAAAAAAGGAAGAAAAAUACCUUGUAAAACACAUAAUGUUUUACUCUUUAUCAGGCAAUGUGGAAAGGUUUCAUUUGUAUUGCUGUGUCUCUUGGGCUUCAGAACAGGAAAGCGCUCAUUCAAAAUGUAACGUCCAAGUCCUUUUAGCUACAGCACAUAAAGGUCUACUGAAAAGUUUUCGGCAGUGAUAUGAAAUGAAGUGGGAUAACUUAGAGAAGUCAGGAGGAUGAGAGGAAAUAAAAACAAAUAUGGGGCCAGUAAGUAGCCAGGACUAUCUGCCAGGACAAGGUGACUCCUGGGAAAAGGAAAGAGAGAUGAGUGACUACAGCAUGAGGAGUCAGAAGUAGGGAAAAGGAAAUACUGCUAUAGUAGUAUUUUGAAUAGGAUGAGACAGCAAGUGUCAGGGUGGUCAGACAAAAAACAGCCUUGGUGCCCUUCUAGUACUUGGAGCAGUACUAAAUGUUUGUGAAAGUCACUUGGGAAGAUUUUCAGUUCCUCUAAUCUCCAUCCACAUUAGCAGCAGCAAUCUACUUCUGCCAUUGUUUACUAGAACAACUGUCAUGCCAGUUUGCAGAGAUCUGUGCAAUGGACUUCAGUGUUUCCAGUAUUGCUGAUUCUGGGAGUCAGCAAAUGCAAAGAUGCUAGAAAUAUGUCGAUGAAGUAUUGCUAUUCCUGUUUAUUUGUAUGCUCUCAUGAUCAGUAAAAUAACUUUCCUUAAUUUAGUCUGCCUUUACUCUUCAUGGAAAGCUUAAGGAAAACUAGGCAUAAGCAGCUUGGUUUCAUUCAAUUUUUCUAUGGAGGUCUCAUCCUGCACACACCAAUGGUGGCCAUCUAUCAUAUAUUUACAUUAUGUUGAAAUGAAGGGAACAUGACAUUUUUCCUUUAUUGUCAGGAGGUGUCAAAAGUAUUAAUAGCAUAAUUUUUGCUAGCUGGCUAAAAUUCUCACACUGCAAUCUUGUGCAUCAGCAUUUUUUUUUUUUUUAAACCACAGAUGGUCAUUUAUGUAACACUGUUGGAAAUUGUUGCCAUGUUCCACAGCAACAGGAAAAUGGGAUACAUCUGCACUUUGUGGGGAAAAAUACAAAUGAACUAGAAGCUAAGCAAACAUUUAAAUUACAGGGAAACGGGACUGCGAUAAGCCCUGGUCUGCAUGAGCAGGAAGAGAGUGUCAGCCUCACCCAUACCCUGAAAAAAUGCUCACAUUUAUGGGCCACUCUAUUGUACUGAGUGGAAGUUUGUUUAUGCGGGACCUUCCUUCCCUCAGGACUUCCUCUGAGAGGAAAUGUCGUCACCAUUUAGUAGGAGUCAAUUGUUAUGCAUUCAAAACUCAAACAUAAAAUAGUAUCCCCGAAUGCAACGAAGUGCAAAGGAAUAAAUAAGAUUUAUGCAUUUACAUAUUUGGAAACAUUUACAAAAGUUGUUCUUGCUCACUAAGACUUUCAGAGAACUGGGUAAAAGCUAAUAAUGCUUGAGUAAGUAGCUCAAAUAAUAUCGUUUUAUAGGUGCUCAAGAUGCUACUCAGUAUUUGAUGAAUUCCACGACUUUUGUCAUCGCUGCUAGUGCUCUAUGGCCGAUGUGGGAAUAUGUUUAAACAGAAGGCUGAAAAUCAGUUUGCAGCUGUAAAACCAGGGUCAUGCUCUUAUGGGAAUACUUGGCUAAGUCUGUUCCAUGUUUUGUACUGAAUGGCUCUGGAUCUGAAGCGCUCUGGUGACAGUACUCUGCUGUUGAGAGAUGACCUUUCUGAAACCAGAAAAUACCUACAGAGCUGAAGACCUGAAUGCACAUGUGAGCAGAGUCCCAGUUCAAGAAACUCUAAGUUUGUAAGUACUGAGCUUUACAGUCACUCUUCACUUGAUGAGGUUAGGCAAGUGUUGUCUGCAGCAAUGUGCUUUGGUGCUGAGGAUGUAACAGUAUCAAGCAGUAAUCUUCAAUGCCUCAAAGUAAAAUUUAACCUUAGUCUGCUAAAUGUUUGAUUUUGAGUCUAAAUAAUAAAGUAAUCUAUCCUGCUUGUGUUGGACAAAAGAUGUGAAUUCAAACCCAUGGUGUUUUAUGCUUUGAUUCAACCAAGUGAAUCUCCUCUC